GAUGAACGCUGGCGGCGUGCCUAAUACAUGCAAGUCGAGCGAACGGACGAGAAGCUUGCUUCUCUGAUGUUAGCGGCGGACGGGUGAGUAACACGUGGAUAACCUACCUAUAAGACUGGGAUAACUUCGGGAAACCGGAGCUAAUACCGGAUAAUAUUUUGAACCGCAUGGUUCAAAAGUGAAAGACGGUCUUGCUGUCACUUAUAGAUGGAUCCGCGCUGCAUUAGCUAGUUGGUAAGGUAACGGCUUACCAAGGCAACGAUGCAUAGCCGACCUGAGAGGGUGAUCGGCCACACUGGAACUGAGUCACGGUCCAGACUCCUACGGGAGGCAGCAGUAGGGAAUCUUCCGCAAUGGGCAAAAGCCUGACGGAGCAACGCCGCGUGAGUGAUGAAGGUCUUCGGAUCGUAAAACUCUGUUAUUAGGGAAGAACAUAUGUGUAAGUAACUGUGCACAUCUUGACGGUACCUAAUCAGAAAGCCACGGCUAACUACGUG
rnacentral:rRNA from 1 species